CGAUGUCAGCUUAAUAAAUUGUUUUAUAUUUUAAUUUGUUAAGGAUAAGCUUAAUAAAAGCAGGAAAGAUGUAUAAACCAAAUGAGUUAUGUAGGCCUGAAAUUAGCCAUCAUAGUAGAACUUGUUACAAAAUAACUUGUAAAAUUGGAAAGAUUUUAAUACUUAUUUUCCUAGUGUUAUGGGGGUAAUAGAAGAAAUUGGUGAAUUUAAUUUAUGUAUGCUAAGAUGAGUAUUUUAAAAUUUUUAAUAAGAUAAAAAAAUUAAAAAAUAUCUACGAUAACAGUUUAUUGAAAAAAUAAAGUAAGAAAAAGGAACUCGGCAAAUAUAAGCUUCGCCUGUUUAUCAAAAACAUGGCUCUCUGCCAAUCAAAUAUAGAGAGUUGAACCUGCCCGGUGGAAAUUUUUAACGGCCGCGGUACCCUGACCGUGCAAAGGUAGCAUAAUCAUUUGCCUUAUAAUUGAAGGCUUGUAUGAAUGGUUUGACGGAAGCAUUGCUGUCUCUUUUUUAAUAACUAGAAUUUGACCUUUAGGUGAAGAGGCCUAAAUAUAAUUGAAAGACAAGAAGACCCUAUCGAGCUUAAAAACUAAAUUAGAAAUAAACUAUAAAGUUUAGAUUCACUGCUAAUUGACUUUUUUAAUUGGGGCGAUUGAGGAAUAAUAAAAGCUUCCUUCUUUGUUUUAACUUAUAAGUAUUGAUCCAGCUAAGGCUGAUUGGAAGAAUUAGUUACCGUAGGGAUAACAGCAUAAUCUCUCUUGAGAGACCUAAUCGAAAGAGGGGGUUGUGACCUCCAUGUUGGACUACAAUAUCCUAAAGGCGCAGAANCUUU
rnacentral:rRNA from 1 species